rnacentral:lncRNA from 1 species
GCAGAAUGAGGCUGAUGGAGUUGGAACUUCUUUCUAAAAUUUCUGAUAUUUUUAUUGAAAUUCCAAAAGUUAGUGCUGCAACUUAAUUUUUUGGCUAAUUCUAUCUGCCUUCCAAAAAUUGAAUCUUAUAGUUUUGUAAUGCAAGCAUAAAUUGACAUUUGGACAGAGGAUCCCACAUUUGUGCCUGUGAUCUGAAAGUGCUCACAUCAUUCAAUAUUUGAUUUCAUCUAUGCACGUCCAAAAUGUGUCUG